UCGAUAAUGACAAAAUUUUAUGGAAAAGUUAUAAGGAGCUAAAGCGUCAGAAACGUCAGAAUAGAAAUAAAUUAGAAGGGAAAUAAAACUAUAACUAUUGUAAUCAUGUCUAAGAUUUCUAUAAGCGUCAUUAAGUACAAACUAUCAAUAUUUAAGAGUACUUUAAAUCAUCAUUACAUUUUUUAAACAUUUUUUGUUUUUUUUUUUCAAAUUAUGUAACAAAACGUUUUGUGCAGAACAAAAUGUCACAUAUUAUGAACAAUUGUGGGUUAAUUGUUUCAUAAAUGUGUAAAUAUUUAUAAGAAUGCUAAGAAUAAUUUAGUAUUCACUUUAGUGUGUGUGUUAUCUCUACAAUGCUAGUUUAAAUGACAAUUAUUGUAUGACGAAGCAUAGGUAGUGUUUAUAGAUGUAAGAUUUUCGUACAAGGUCAUGAUCUGUCACGAUCAACUUUAAGCAAGAACUGCUAUCAUUGUGAAACAAAUUUAUUACAUUUAAUUCAAAUUGUCUACUAUGUUUGUAAUGGAAAGCUGACAUGUUUAUAUUUCGCACGAAUGACUUAAUUGAGAUGGAAUGAUUUUAUUAUCUAGACUUAUUUAACUUUUAGAUAACUUUCGAUUUAAUGUUAUUAAGUACUCUAGUAGGAUUAAUCUAGAGGAGUGAUUGUUAUUCGAAAUUUUAUACAAUUGUACGUUCAUACUAUCUUUUAACAGUAAAUUGUUUGUAAUAUAGGGAAAUUAAAUAGCUUACAGAGAAUUACAGCUUUUUAUUUUAAAAAACUGUUUUCUCUCUGUAUCUUAUCGAUUAGAAUGCUGGACACAAUCAAACGUUCUUUAAUAUUUCAUAAGUACUACGGGGAAUUUCAGCGAUUCUAAACGAUAAGAUUUUUUCAUAAAGAGAGUUAAUUAUAAAAAAUAUUAAAAUUACUAAAAAAGCCACCUGGCGGGGGGUAGGGAGACUAAUAAUCGACAGCAGCGACGCCUGCUGACCUGGGCUCUAACUAAAGCAAAAAUAAAAAUGAGAGUUGCGCAUCUAUCUCAAAUAUAUUAAGUGUAUAAUCUAUGGUGUGAAUCAGUGUGAAAUACGAGUUCAGCGCGGUUGCACGUGUUCGAAGAUUUAAAAAAAUUAAAGUGUAGUGGAUUUGUUGUAUUGUUAAUAAUGGAAUCGUGAGUAUUAAUUCAUUAUAUUUUACUAACAUGAAGUAAAUGUUAUUUGCAUUUUAUGACAAAAAAACGUCUUUGAAGUAACGGCCUCGUCAUUUUUUUAACCUAACGGUCAUCUUUAGUUGGUCGUUUUUAAUAGAAAAAUUAAUAAAAUCCAAACGAUUUUUUGUAAUGAGAUCAAUAUUUUAAUGAACUUAAUUAAAAGUAUUACAAAGGACGUGUAUUUUAGUCGCAAAUGUAAAAAUUUCGACUUCAAAGAUGUGAACACACUUUUUUUUAUUGCUUAGAUGGGUGGACGAGCUCACAGCCCACGUGGUGUUAAGUGAUUACUGAAACCCAUGGACAUCUACAACGUAAAUGCGCCACCCACCUUGAGAUAUAAGUUCUAAGAUCUCAGUAUAGUUACAUAGGCUGCCCCACCCUUCAAACCGAAACGCAUUACUGCUUCACGGCAGAAAUAGGCAGGGCGGUGGUACCUACCCGCGCGGACUCACAAGAGGUCCUACCACCACUUAUAGUGAACGGUCUGUAAGUCGUGACAUCGCAACGAUACUGCGCAACAUAUAUCCUGCAGCGCUAUCACGUACUUCGCAGACAAUUAGCAGAAGACAAAUACCUAUUGUGCAAAUAUUGCUGUCAACUGUCAAUUUCGUAUUACGGACUUACAACAAAUCAGCAGAUCCCGGAUCAUUACUAUUGCUGCCUCUGCAGAGCGUUUUGUGAAACUUUAGUGCAUUCUUUUCCAUACGACUACCAACAAUUAAUUGACAUACAGUCGGUAUUACGGAUGCUCUUGUCUGCCACACAACAGCAGAUAUUUAGCAAUUUCGUUUGUUAAAUUUGCGACACCUUUUGUAUCUAAAUUGUGCUAAAUUGUUGCAAACUAUCUGCAAGUGUAACAUUUGGGAAAUUAAAUAAUUUUAACUUGAUUUAUAAUAGGUAAGUGUAAUUGGUUCAGAUCUUUAUUCGUGUUUGUGUUUUCUAUAAUAUUAACAUUAAACACCACGCUGGGCCAUUUAAGUACAUUAAUAAUGUUGAGGUUAUAAAGUUUAUUUGUUACAAAUUAAUAUUUAUUCUAGAUAUAUGACUAUGGACAGAGCUCUAAUGAUAAAUGGGGCUUUGGAGGCUAAGGAAAUUGAGUCGGAUACACUCGAAUCAGUGCGUUUGCGACGCUGUCUUCGUAAUCAAUCUAGCCCCCUUAAUCUAUCGGAAAGUCUGUUCAGAACACAUUAUAGAAUUUCAAAACAUCUAUAUUUGCAAUUGUGCUCUGAAUUAAAGCCGUUAAUAAUCUAGAUCACCAAGACGAACAAGAAUAGAAUAUAGUAGAAUGCAAGAUGUUAACAGCAUUGCAAAAUUUCAUACCAGAAACCUGUGGGAAUGAGCUUUUUGCAUUUUGAGUCAAACUGCAGUAAAUUCAAUCCCAUUAGGGAAGUGACUAUGGCAUUAAACAACCGUCCAAUUUUAUUGAAACAUUUAAAGUUUCUGCCAACAGUACAAUGGGUCACAAGUUAUUAUAAAUGGGUAAGUUAAAUAAUUAUCUUAUUAUUACAGCACAAGAGUUCCACUGAUUUCACAAUUUCCACGACUCAAUCAUAUAGAUCAGUUAUAUUCUUGAAGCUUUAUAAUUAAACAGAGUUCUGAUAAAUGUCAAGCCCUGGUGAAACUGGAAAGGCCUUCAGGCCUUCAAUUUUUUUUAAGAUUUAUUUAUUUAUAUUUAUAGUACAUAGAUAUUUGAAUGAUAAUAAUUUCGUGUGCAGUGGCAUUGUGAUUGAAAAAAUAAUAUAAUAGUAAAAAAAAAUUUUUCAUUAUAGGUUUUACAAUAAAUUUUGCUUUCCUGGGGUUUCGGAGUGUAUAGAUGGCACUCAUGUUGCACUUGUCAGAUCUUCUGAAUAUGAAGAAAGGUUUUAGAACCGCAAGCAUUAUCAUUCCAAGAAUGUGCAAAAUAGUAAGUGUUUUGCUCAAGCCUAUCAUUCACAAUAACAUACAUUUGAUAGUACUUAUCUGAAGAAUUAAAUUUUUCAGAUUUGUGAUAGUGAUCUUAACAUUUUAAGUAUUGAUGCAACAUUUCAUGAUACAUUUGUCUGGUUUAACACUGAACUGAAUAUGCCUAUGCAGGAUCUGCACGAUAAUGGUGAAAAUGGUUUUUAGGCAAGUAAAACAUCAUGAGCUCUUCUCAGUAACCCGACUACAAAAUAAUACUCAAUCUAAAAGUCUAAUGCCCUAAAUGCCCUAAAGGAUAAUGCUAAAGAUAAUAUUGUAGCAGGUUUCAAAAAAACAGGAAUAAAUCCAUUCGACCCCACACAGAUACUGAAACGAUUACCUGGAUAUGAAAGAGUUAGCCACCAAUCAGAAACUAUCAAUGAAUCUGUUUCAACAAUACUAAAAGACAUGCGUCAUAGAACAAUGAAUGUCGUUGAACCUAAAAGAAAAAGGAAAAUAGUAGUCGAACCUAGAAAAAAGGUCAGUCUUGAAGAAACUUAUGCUGAAACAAAAGAGAAGAAUAAAGAACGCAAGAAAAAGAAAAGUAAACUACAAGUUCCUAAAAACAAAGAAGGAAUUAAUGACAACAAGCAAAAAGGACCAAUAACAAAAAAAGGAAAGGGUAUAGGGAAAAAAACAAAGCCACCAUACUGCCUGAUUAAACUGAUAAAGCUAACAUUUUCAAUAACUAUUUUGCUAUAGUAACCAUACCAAUUAUUUUUGGAGAUGAUAUUUUGACAAGUCAUUAUGAAACAAUUGACAAGUAUAAUGUUUCAGAUGUCAUAGUUUCAACUAAUGAAACCAAUAACAAAAUUCAAGUUCUAUCUGAUAUUACGGUUGCAGUUUCUAAACACAAAAAUUCUCAUAUAAUAAUGAUAAUAAUAAUAAUAUCAAGUUUAUUUUGCCCCAUACUAAACUACAAAUCUUAGAAAAGUCUAGAACUGUUAAUAAAGGGAUUAAGAAAAAAGUAAAAGUACCAUUAAUCAAGACAAUCAAGAUGGAAAAGCCACGAAGCAAAUAUAAAGAUUUCGAUGACAUCUUGCUAGAAAUUGCGGUAUACAAAAAUAUAUUAUCGUCAUACGAAACAGAAAAACAAUUUGGUAUACCUCGCCGCAUGAUUUUAAAUAAGGUCAAACAAAGACACAAAAAGAGUUGGAUGUCCUACCACAAACCGCCACUAGCUGAUGAAAAGAAAAUUACAAGCUGUUUGAUUCUAUGUGGAGAAUAUGAGUAUUCCUUUACCUGGUUUGAACUAAGGUCAAUAGUACACGACUAUUUAGUUAAAAACGGACUCACCUUUUAUAUCUUUUUAAUAACAAAAUGCACGAUACCAAAAGUGGGUAAGGAGCUUUUUGAAACGCAACAAAUAUAUUCUGAGUGUGCCGUUUACAGGAUAUAGAUCUAUAAAGGAAUCUCGGGCCAAAGAAUUUUUAUUUUGAAUUUUUUGAGAACCUUAAAAUUUCUGUUCAUAAUGUUAAAUCAGAUCAUAUAGUGAACUAUGACGAGACAAUUUUUUCCGACAACCCAGGAUCCCAAAAAUGCAUAUUUAAAGCAGGCGCUAAACAUCCAAAAAACGAAAACUGCAAUAUCAGUCAUGUUUUCGGCUACAAUCAGUGGAGUAAUAUUCCCGCCGUAUGUGGUAUAUAAAGCUGAUAAUUUAUGAACAAAUUGGUGUACCUAAAGGAACCAGAUAUAUCAAAACCAAAUCUGGCUGAUUUGAUUCGAAAACGUUCGAAGAUUGGUUUAAUACCAUAAUUAUUCCAUGGGCAGAGAAAACUAUAGAUCUUAAGGUCUUGAUCGGAGACAAUUUAUAGAGAUAUAUAUUUUUUUUACACAUUACAUAUGGAAAAUAAUAUAAGAUUUAUUUUCCUGCCCCCCAAUUCAACAUAUCAUACUAAACCUCUCGAUGUGGUCUUAUUCGGCCCAUUAAAGAGAGAAUGGAAAAGAAUUUUAAUGGACUACCUAGUUCGACACCCAAGCGCAAAUAAUAUCUUAAAUAAACAAAUAUUCUCCGAAUCACUGAAGAUAUUAACUGGUUGCCUCGAAACUUAGACAAAGUAAAAAUUUGUGGAUUUCGUGUUGCUGGGAUAUUGCCGUGGCGUGCAACCUCUUUGAUAGGAGACCUACAACGACUAGACACAGACUAAGACAGACACUUGACAAGAAUUAAAAAAUAAAGAGAGAAAUGGAAAGAGGGCCUACGUGACUAGCGGCAGGCGGUACUUUUUUUGACUUCCUAAAAGACGGACACGAACCAGACGACGAGGAACGAAUUGACCGUUCUCAUAUGUAUAUAAAAUAGACGACAAAAGAACUAACCGACCGUUCAGAUUCUGGAUUAAUGGGAUGUAUUAAUCCAGAAGCUGUAUUAAAGAAAUUGCCAGAUUAUCGUAGGUCUCAAACCGUGACUUAUGACGAGACAUUUGUCAACAAUUUACAGGAUUUGAGAACUCCGGCUACCCAUAAAAAAGGAACUACAAAAAAAAAACUAAAAACAGAAUCUGGAAAAUUUGUAAGUGUUAAUGAUUUGAAUGAAGAAGAUCACUUUUCAUCGGUAAGUUUUUUUAUUUAAACAUUAUUUUUUUAUUAAAACACGAUUUUUAUUAUUCGAUAAUUAUUAGUAGUUUAGACUGAUUAGCCGAUGUUGCCAGUUUAUUACUAGGGAAUUUGCCGAAAUUAUGGGAUACAAAUUACAAAUAUAAUUUCAUCUUUAUAAAAUUUUGAAUAGAACUUGUUAUGUUUAUUUAAAAAGAUGACAGUACAUAUUUACUUAAACUGAAAAUGAUAACUUAUUUACAUUCAUAAACGAAACGAAAUAUUUUGGGUUUCAAAUUUCCUACAUAUUCCGCACUAGCAAAUCGCUGGAGAGAAAUUAUACUGCGGACACGAAAUAAUGACCAGUGGACAAGACUUCAGUCGCUAAUAGUAGAUUGAAAUCAUUUUGUUAGAAGUUUUGGUUAAUUCAGUGAAAUAUAAUUAGGCCAGUUCAGUAAUUUAUUUCCUUUUAUUAACUACCUCACUUCUGGUCGAUAAUAGUAUUAUUAUCAUCAUCAUCAUUUCAUUUUUUGUUAUCACUAAUUUAAACAUUUAUGUACGUACUGAAACACUGUUACAUUGUUUUCCUGCGAGUUACAGUGCCGAGUAAGAACGAGAUAGAUAUAUGUUUAUGUGUGUGCCUUCAAAAUGGAUGCUAUUUGUAUAAGCAAUGGUACGUAUAGAACAAUAUGUCGCGUCCCUACCUUAAAGGUCUAUGGUUCAUAAUCAAAGCUUUCACAUUAGUAAUACCCUGUCAUUUACUAAUUGUGUCGUUAGGGAUCCUAAGUAUGUUUACCAAUAAGGUUCAUAGUCUAAAUGAUUCAUUUACUAAUUGUUUAGUAAAUACUAUUUGUGUAUAAAUUCUCUUCCUCCUUAAAACUUAAAGAGUUCGACAUCAACCUUCAAGCUUAUAACAUUCUAACUCUGUCCGUGUAACAUCAGAUUUUUGUACAGGAUAAAUAAAUUCAGUGUGUAUUAAAAUAAA